CCCCACAUGUGGCUCCAUCUCUCCUGUCCUGUGUGGAUUUGAUCGCCCUAAAGUGGACAGUGUGCUGUGUGGAGGAUGGGCUAAAUCAGCCUCAUGUCAAAACACUGGAGAAAGUGACUGUGAGGAGGGUCACAGAGAGAACCCACGCAUGCACGGAGAGAACAUGUAAACUCCAGCCAGAAAGGAACCUGCCCGACCUGGGACUCGAACAAGGAACCUUCUCACUGUGAGGCAACAGCAACACCCACCGGUCCGCCCUUGGCUCCUCCCCGUGUUUAUUCUGUAUUCGUUAUCCUUUGUCUCCCUUGAGUGUUUAGAGAUC